UUUUUAGAAUAAAUAUAUGGUAGAUUGAUGAAGAUCAGAUUGAUGAAGACUUUGUUUUUAUAAGGAUCAGAUUAAAGUUAUGUGUUAACUUGGGACUUCCAGACUUUCAAACCCAAUAUCUUCUCUAUUUGUAUUUCUCUAGGUUUCCAACAAAACCAGAUGAAUGACUGUGCUUGUUCUCUGGGAUGUCUUUCAGGAACCUCAUAUUCUCCCUCAAAAGAGGCCCUGCAUGGAGUUCAGGAGUUUUUCAGGAAGAGCAGCAGAAUGCAUUUUUGUCAAUCUCUUUAUUUUUUGUGCCAGGCUGGGUUUCUAAUGGGCAAUUUGAACAGCAAUGACUGCCUGGAAGAGCAGGCGUAAGCAGCUUGCAUGGUGCAGACAUGUGUGAAUGCAUGUGCAUGGGAGACAACUACCAGGGGAACUCAUUUGGUUGAACUGUAAUGGAGCAGGUCAAAGGCAGACCAGGGUGAAUUCGGCAGUCACAUCACAAAGUCCUUAUUUUCUUAAGCAGCCAUGCUUCUAGAGAUACAGAAAGGAAUCCAAGGAGCAAGACAACAGGAAGCUCCAAACUUCCCUGCUUCCAGUACCUGCUUUCCUCCUCCAUGCUGUGAGCCCUCCCUGGAGGAAGAAGUGGGACCUCCUUCUGUCUCUUCCUGAGUGGGGUGAUCUCAGCAUGAGUCACUUGCAGCAUGAUAUGGACCCUUGUUCCUUUGGAAAUAGUGCCCAACUAGCAGCUGCACAGCUCAGCAGGUCUCUGACGCAGCUUCUGGAAUAGGGCAGGGCACCUUCCUAACCAAAGCAUUCAAGGGCAAGGCUUGAGAGUGCUCUAAUUUUGUGAAUGGCUUUUGCCUGAGAGCAGGAUGCAAUGAGAAGAGGGUGGGGACGUUGUGGAUCUAUAUCCCUCAUUCUUGGUGUCCAUUUAGUGCCUGCAAAAUAUUUACUUUUGAGCCUCCAGGGAAAGCCACAGGAAGAGUAAGUUCACUACUAGAAAUGUUAGCUGUAACACAAAGAGAGAUCUUAGUUUGUUGAUCACUGGUGUCUCAGUAGGGAUUCAAUGGCUGAAGAUUAUUCCUGAAACCUUCACUUGAGUCCCAGCCUUUUUGCCGUGGGAAGGGGCCUUUCUCCAGCUUGAUUCUUCUCCUCUGGUCUUCAUUUUUAAUGUGUCUCAUGAGAUUCUCAUGUAUCUCCUAGACCAAGACCUUCCUUCCCUCACAGAGGUCUACCCUUCCCUCGAGUCAUUGGAAAACACUACCCCAAAGACAUUUGUGUCUGAGUGACAUGUUGGGCAGUUAAUGAACCAGCACAGCUGUGUCAAAGCAUCUCAGCAAUGAAUACAGGCUAAAAUAGAAGCCACAGGCGGGAAACAUGCAAACCCUUCCUGUGCCAGAGAUGAAAUCCAGGGAAUGCUGGGCCAAAUUACUGGCUUUUCACGCCUCUCACUGAUUAAAGUCUGUAGUCUGUAGUCCACUUGCUCACUGUCUCUGAGUUGGUGGCUUCUUAAAAGCUUUAUGGAGGCAUUUCCACUGGGGCAUCUUCCAGUAACAAGAGAAAUCCUCAUGCAACACCUUUAAAGCAGUAACAUGUAAUUAGGUUGUUUUUGGAAGGUUGGUUUGCUGCAGGCAAAUGGCCCAUUACAGAGUUUAAAUGACCAGCUUGUCCAGUUUUCAACCUCACAAAGAUUUUGUUACAGUUGAUCCUUUCCUGAUGGUCCCUGUACCCUGUUCCAAGUAAUUUAAAUGAUACAGCUUAAGUCUAUUUAAAAGAAGGGGGUGGAGUACUUCCACUCAUUCCAGCAAAGAAACAAACCCAGGCCAGUCAAAAGGUUUCAAGUAGUAUCAGACGACAUUCAUAAUAUGAAGAUAUUUGGUUUGUUUAACAAUCCCAAUGUGGUGAGUGGAAGAAAGUUGUCUAGUUUUUUAAUGAACUUACUGGUUUUGCAAUGCUGCAUGUUGAAGUGGGGGUAGUAGUUACUAUGUAAACAGUUCUCAUAAAUUUAUCCUGAAUUUUGCAGUGUGAUGCUUUUGGAAAAAAACAGUGUUAUUAUCUAGGAAAGUAAGUUCUUACUAAAAAAAAAAAUCGCUUCUAGCCCUUACAGUUCUGCGUAGAAUAUGAUGUGAUAAAACACACAUUUACUUGGGUACACACUUUGAGGUGUACCCAGAUACACCCCGAAGUAAAAAAAAGGCAAAAACUCCCUCACCAAAUCUUAUGGUUUCUGAGUCAACCCCAGGUAGUCAUGCUCCAUUUUGCAUUUGACUUUUUUGUUGUUGGCGUUUCUGCAGUUAUAAGUCAAUGGAUGCCCUGAAGCAAAGAUUUGAUCUUAUUUGAUCUUUCUUGCCUGAGCUUGUCCCACAAAAGACUAUCGGUAAUAAAUAUUAUCCCAAGUGACUGUGGUAUAAGUAAUAGCAUUCCUUACCCAAAGAUCAUCCCCCCCAAAAAAAGAAAAAAAAAUCACUCUGUUCACAUUAGGAAAGAACUGCUGGGAAGAAAGGUACAAAUGACUCGUCUCUGCUCUUUAUGUCAGAUACAGCUCACCUAUGAAGCAAGAACCAGACAAACCCAUCAGGAUCUGAGCAAUCUCUAGUUCUUGAUCUCUGCCUCUGUUUUGGUGGUGAAGCCCAUGUUUGAGACUGUGCUCAAACCACCCUCUUCUUCCUUUCCUAUGUGGAAGUACUGAAAUGGUGACCUCUUUCCCAAGGGAGAAAACAUGGUGUCUUCCCUAUUUUGUCCUGACAGCUCAGGCCAGCUCUGCACAGCUGUGCACCAUCACAGCAGCAGAAAGUACAAGCUUAUUCUUCUUCUUCUGUUUUCAAAUAUAGGUGGUAGAGGGUGAGAAGACUUGAAAGUACACUGGUUCAUCUGUAUUUUUAACAAAGUACUUUGUAUUUUAGGCUUCCCUGUAAAAUAUAAUGAUAGAUUUCUUCAAUAAUAAUUACAGUGGGGAAAAAAGCUUCAU